GAUGAACGCUGGCGGCGUGCCUAAUACAUGCAAGUCGAGCGAACAGACGAGGAGCUUGCCCCUCUGACGUUAGCGGCGGAAGGGUGAGUAACACGUGGAUAAAAUACCUAUAUGACUGGGAUAACUUCGGGAAACCGGAGCUAAUACCGGAUAAUAUAUUGAACCGAACGGUUCAAUAGUGAAAGACGAUGGAGCUGUCACUUAUAGAUGGAUCCGCGCCUCAUUCGCUAGUUGGUAAGGUAACGGGUUACGAAGGCGACGAUCAGUAGCCGGACUGAGAGGGUGAACGGCCACAUUGGGACUGAGACACGGCCCCAAGUCCUACGGGAGGCAGCAGUGGGGAAUAUUGCAAAAUGGGGGAAACCCUGAUGCAGCGACGCCGCGUGAGUGAAGAAGUAUUUAGGUAUGUAAAGCUCUAUCAGCAGGGAAGAAAAUGACGGUACCUGAAUAAGAAGCCACGGCUAACUACGUG
rnacentral:rRNA from 1 species